CGGCCGGUCCCGGCGGGGGGGGAGGAGCUGAGCGGCGUGAGGAGACCCCGGCCCAUCCCGGCCCCUGGGCCUUUUCUUUGGCUUCCUGUUGGAUCCCAUCCAAGCAGCACCCACCUUCCCAUUCCACUUCGCAGGGCAUUGCAGCUCCAAGGCGCAGAGUGUGUGAUGGGUGCUCCCUGUACCUUGGCACAUUGACCAUGGUGACAUCAGCUGCCUGCAUGGCUCUCACCCUGUCCUGCCAUGCUGGAUGCAGCAUGCCCUUCUCUUCUGCCCUGCAUGACUGACUCUGACUUGUCACCUUGGAUGACCCUUCACAAGG